rnacentral:rRNA from 1 species
CCUACGGGAGGCAGCAGUGGGGGAUAUUGCACAAUGGGGGGAACCCUGAUGCAGCGACGCCGCGUGGGUGAAGAAGCGCCUCGGCGCGUAAAGCCCUGUCAGCAGGGAAGAAAAUGACGGUACCUGAAGAAGAAGCCCCGGCUAACUAAGUGCCAGCAGCCGCGGUAAUACGUAGGGGGCAAGCGUUAUCCGGAUUUACUGGGUGUAAAGGGGGCGCAGGCGGCGAUGCAAGGCAGGAGGGAAAGCCGGGGGCCGAACCCCGGGACUGCCGUUGGAAGUGCGGGGCUAGAGUGCAGGAGGGGCAGGCGGAAUGCGUGGUGUAGCGGUGAAAUGCAUAGAUAUCACGAAGAACACCGAUGGCGAAGGCAGCCUACUGGUGUACAACUGACGCUGAGGCCCGAAAGCGUGGGGAGCGAACAGGAUUAGAUACCCGAGUAGUC